rnacentral:misc_RNA from 1 species
GUAGGUGAACCUGCGGAAGGAUCAUUAACACGUGUCCCACGUAUAAAACCAAAACCGAGAACAUUGAACGUAUAUCCGGGAGGAGUCUAAGAUGGCGUCGGCAGUAAAGUCCAGAGCGACCUGCUUCGGUAGGUGUACCCUGGGUUCCGCACGUCUGGGCUCUAACCGUUAACCCAAAACCAUUAUUCAUUAUUAUUAUCGUCUUAAGAACUGUCGUGCUGACUGACGAGGCUUCGGCUUUGAAUGUCGG